UACGAAGGUCCCAAGCGUUAUCCGGAUUUAUUGGGUUUAAAGGGUGCGUAGGCGGGCUAUUAAGUCAGUGGUGAAAUCUCCGAGCCUAACUCGGAAAUUGCCAUUGAUACUGAUGGUCUUGAGUACAUUUGAAGUGGGCGGAAUGUGUCAUGUAGCGGUGAAAUGCUUAGAUAUGUCAUAGAACACCGAUUGCGAAGGCAGCUAACGAAACUAUAACUGACGCUGAGGCACGAAAGUGCGGGGAUCAAACAGG
rnacentral:rRNA from 1 species